rnacentral:lncRNA from 1 species
AUGAUAUCAUUCUGUAAAGAGGCUUAGAUAUUGGGAUUGUCCCAAGGACCAAAUCAAAAGCAAAGUCACAUUUGGAGGUAAUCCAAGCAAGUCAUCUUGGGAUACAUUAGGCAAGGAGAUAAAUCAUGUCCAAUACUCUGAAAAUAAAAGAUUGACUGAUCAAAUAUGCACAAAGUAAUCAUUUGUUAUAUACCAAUCCAUACUGGUAUGAUAGGAAGAUAGCCAAUCCAUAACAAGUAUGAUAUCAAAACUCCAAAUCUCUAGGAGAACUAAAUCAGCAAAAGUUCAAGUUCUCCAAUAAAAAUCAGACAAGAGGACCAGAUUCAAGUUCAUUAUCAAAGAAUCUCCAAUGA